AGUGGUAGCACACCAAUGAAUAGCAACGAAACGGUAAAGUCAUUUCAUAAGAUAGAGUGUUAAUUGUUACUACCGCUGGAGAACUUUUUUUCCCAACUUUUAUAAGAGCGAUCCAACACAAAACGAGGAGAAGGGAAAAGAUGAUUGGACCUACUACACUCCACGAUUCCAUCUAUACGGGUGGAUUCCUUUCCUUUCCUUUCCCAUCACUUUUUUUUGUUGACAAGUAAUAACUGAAGAAGAGAGAGGAGGAGGUAAGAGCAUUGGAAACCUUCAAACCUCACCUCCCCUAGUGCAAGGUUUCCUCAAGCAGUAACUGCGGGAAGCCGUCUUGUAACUAGUAGAAAAAAGUCUUUCUUGAAAGGCUAGCCUCCCAGUCAUUAUUAGUAAUGUGGUCAAUGGUUCAUAUUUUGGCUCUGUCUAUUCCUCUUCCUCUCUGCUCACACCUCCAUUGCACUUGAUGGGACUUGGGCUUUUUUAGCUCAAAGUGGACUGAUUCAGGAGCUUCAUCUUUGGCUCUUGCUCUCUGUGCAGGCUCCAGGAAGAUAAAUCCUCAAGUAGGUAUUGGGUAAUUGUUGGAUUAGUUAAAUCUUGAUGAAAUCGGUGGAGGAAGAGAGUAGCUUGGUGACCGUGGAACCAAAGAAGGCAGUACUAGUGCGGAUAUCUAUAUCGACAUCAUCGAUAUGUGGGUGGUGCUCCUGCCUGAGCGGCAUAGUUGGGGUCAUACUCUUGACGUGGUGGUUGCUACGGCAUAAACAAUCCAAUACCCAACUAUGGAUGGUCCCUUUCGGCCUUGUUCUCUUUGCAACGCCGGCGGUUGUAUGGUUCUCCGUCUUCGCAUCUGGCACCAGCCCUUCUUCUUCUUCUUCUUCUUCUUCUUCUUCUUCUUCUUCUUCUCUCCAUGGUGAUGAUCCACUUCCGAGUCGACUCGUCAUUCCCAACGACUCAGUUCACGAUCCAGAGAGAUAAUAUAAUCAGACAUGUUUGGUGUGUCCUUUAUUUUAUGAUGAUAUUUUCCCUGUAUAAUAUAUUAUAAUUAGAUGAUCAAGUUCUGAGUUGUCCUCGAAUCCCCA